rnacentral:lncRNA from 1 species
GUGCUCCAGGAGAGGGAGGCUGGCAUGCCUUUGGAAUGUCACACAGCCCUGGCUGGAGCUAGACACUGUCCCUUCGCAGAAGGCUCCGGAGGAGCUCUGCCCUCAGGAUUGCUGCGUUCCGUUCCCACCAGGACUCUCACCACGGACUUUUUAUUUCCCACGUGUGCCAAGCAGGAAGGGUGCUGAAAGGAACAGGCAGCCCAAGAGGAUAUCGGUCCUUUGGAUGAAGAGACCACGUGCAGUGUUUGGGAUUUCAUCAAGGACACCUAGAAAGGCAGCCUCGCUGUUACCAUUCAUCACACAUUCCACAGCCAAGGAAAAGCAUCAUUUACAGGGUGCUCAAGCUGGCACGGGUGUGGAGGGACAGGAUUUGUCAGAGCAGGUACUCGGUGAAACUUGAGAGCAGGAAUUCACUGAAGGCAGCAGGACCUGGGAGAAGUCUGACCCAUGCCAUGCAGCCUCUGAUGCUCCUCCCAGUGCAGACCAUGCUCCAGUGUCACAGCACAAGUACCCACAUCUGCUGGCACAAUAAAAACUGAUUUUGGCAACAAAUUUUUUAAAGGGACCAGUGACGUACAA